UGAUGAAUAGAGUGAAGUUGACCUACAAGGAGAUCUAAUCCAUUUACCCUAGCUAUCGAAUCAGCCAAGCUGACUGUAUACAAAGUUAGUGGGAAGCUAGAGGAGAUGAUGAUAUAGUCUUUUAGCACUUAGAUAAACCAAGUAGUAGAGUGAUAAAUAAAUCAGCAGCUUUAAUAGAAGUAAAGGUUGUAGACAGCUAUCAUUAUUUUUUUAAAAAAAUUUUGUUUAUUAAAGUUUUUUUAAUAUCCCUAAGACACCACAGUAGUUUUCACAAAAAAAAAAUCAUUUUUUUGACCAGUUGAAGAAUAUGCUUUAGUAUACCAUGGCAAUGGAAUCAAGGGGAAAAAAAGAAGGCAAAUAAAAAGCUUACUACCCUCCUCAUCUCCCAACAAGUUUCAACUAUGGCCAUCACAUGACUUAAGAUCUCAAAUGAAUACUUCUGUGGGAGAAAUGCAGAUGGAAGGAGCUAAGGCAUAAAUAAUAAAUAACCCCAUAUGAGCUUCUAUAGCCCUUGGCUGUUUUCUCAUUCGAAAAGCUGCACACUGUCCACAGCGACUCACCGAGGUAAACAAAGUAAGGAGACAAGAUGCUGCCCAGUCGUGAUGCCAUGGAACUGGCUCCCACACCCAUGUUCCUGACCACUGUGGCAUAGAGCUCAGCUGUGUACACGUACACGAUGGCAAAAGCACAG